AUGAUCCUUUGCCUAAACUUUUUAUUCUUCCUUGUACUCCUUGGAGGUGUCCAAUCUGAGGUCCAGUUGGUGGAGUCUGGAGGACAUGUGAGGAGACCUGGAGAGUCCCUCCGUCUCUCCUGCCAAGCCUCUGGAUUCACCUUCAGCGAGUCUUACAUGGUCUGGGUAAGACAGGCACCAGGAAAAGGCCUGGAAUGGGUGGCCUACAUAUAUGAAGGUUCAUCUUAUAUUAUCUACUCAGACAAUGUCAAUGGACGCUUCACCACCUCCAGGGACGAUGCCCAAAACCAGCUUUAUCUUCAAAUGAACAACCUCAAACCAGAGGACACAGCUGCCUAUUACUGUGCAAGACGCAUAGUAACAGACGCACAGUGA